CUGCGUUUCUCAUAGGCCCUGGGGGAGUUUGUGAACCUCAUCCUCUGGUUCAUUUUCCUUUACGCUUGCGGUCACCGUUUUCCUUAUGGGCAUGGGAACAAGGGACAGAAGGAGAGAGAAGGAAUCUUAAGCAGGCUCUGUGCUCAGCACAGAACCCAACAUGGGGCUCAGUCCCACAACCCUGGGAUCAUGACCUGAGCCAAAAUCAAGAGUCGGACACUCAACUGACAAGAUACCCAGAUUUGGAGUCCAGAUGUGAGACAAAGACGUUUUUAGGGGGGAAAAAAGGCUCUCAAUGCAAGGAAUCCAAUGACAUGGAUGUCCGAUUUUUAUCUACCCCACCGCCCCCACCUCCCAUUUCAUUAAAAAUAAAACAACAGAAAACAGCUUUUUAUCUCUGUUCAGAUCAGAUCAUUUCUAUUGCUCCACCUUCAAGUUUGCCGGAUUCUCUCCUCUAUAAUCUCCAUUUGGCUAUUGAGCCCAUUUGGGGAGAGAGAUGAGAGGAAAUGAGGAAAGGCUGUCUGGCUUUGUAGAUCCUGCAAGACUACACCAUAGAGCUAUUUGGUUGCAAAUGCUAUUCUUCAAGACAACGAAGAAUGAUCCCAAAGGUGAUUCAGAGAUCAUGAAUUAGGACUGCCUCCUCUGUUUCAAAAGCAGGGAGCAUUACCUUGAUUUCAACUGGCUAGCUGGUAGCUAGCUGGAGCCUUGGGGGCGCUGUUGCCUAGAGCCUUGGGAGAGUAAUCCCCACCUGGCAGACUCUUGGCAUGACCUCCAUCUGACAGAGAUACAGAGGCAGGGCUGCUGUCUCAGUGGAUCUAGGAGGUGGGACAUUGAGCCAAAGAGAAUUACUGUGAGGCCUUAAGAUGUAAUGGUAUUUGCCUUGCUAAGUUUUGGACUUGCUUGGGACCUGUCCCUCUUUUUUUCUGAUUUGUCCCUCUUGGAAUGGGAACAUCUAUCUCUGUUCCAAAAUUGCAUUUUGGAAGCUCAUAAUUUACGUGGUCUCAUGGGUUCACAGCUGGAGAGGAAUUUUGCCUCAGGAUGAAUCAUACCUCAAGUAUCACCUAUAUCUGAUUUAGGUGAUAUUUAGAUGAGGCUUUGGACUUUACAUUUUAGAGUCAAUGUUAGAACAAGUUUAGACUUUGAAGGCUGUUGGGAUGGGAUGAAUGUUAUUUUGCGUGUGAGAAGUACAUGAAUUUUGGGGGGGCCCAGUGGUGGAAUGUUAUUUUCCAGAAUUCAUUGUGAAGCCCUAAGCCCCUAAUGUGAUGGUAUGUGAAGGAGAAGCCUUUGGAAGAUAAAUGAUAUUACAAUUGUGGGUGCUCAUGAUAGGAUUAGUGAUUAGAUAGGAUUCCUCUUUAUAAAAAGAGGAAAAAACUAGACCUUAUUCUCUCCUUCAUGUGAGGACACAGUGAGAAGGUGGCCACCUAUAAGCCUGGAAAGAGUGUCCUCACCAGGAAAUAAAUCUGCUGACACUUUAAUCUUGGACUUCCAGCUUACUGAACAGAAGUAAAUGUUGUUUAAGGUACCCAGUUCAUGGUAUUUUGUUAUAGCAAUCUGAGUUAAGACAAAGAGGAAAUUUAAAAAUAUGUAAAACAAUAAAAAUGAAAAUACUAAAUUUCAAAAUUUGUGGUGUGCAGCAAAGCAUGCUAAGAAGUUUAUAAUGCUAAAUGCUUAUGUUAGAAAAGUAGAAAAGUCUUAUCACAAUUAUCUGAGUCCCUAUCUCAAAACAAAAACAAAAACAGAAAAAGAUGAAUAAAAUAAACUUAAAGCCAAAGGAUGGUAGGAAAUAAUAACAGGAGUGGAAAUUGAAGAAAUUGAAACCCGAAUUAAUUGAACAAUGAAUAAACCAAAAGUUGGUUCUUCCAAAAAAAAUUUGGCAGGUGCCUGAGUGGCUCAGUUGGUUAAGCAUCUGACUUGAUCUUAGCUCAGGUCAUGAUCUCACAGUUCAUGAGAUCAAGCCCCAUGUUGGACUCUGUGCUGACAGCACAGAGCCUGCUUGGGAUUCUCUCUCUCCCCCUCUCUCUGCCCUUCCCCUGCUCAUGAUCUUUCUCUGUCUCUCACAAUAAAUAAGUAGACUUAAAAAAAUUUUUUUUCAAUAAAACUGAUCAUCCUCUACCAAGACUACCAAAGGUAAAAAGUGAGAAGACACAAAUCUUCAAUAUCAGGAAUGAAAAGGAGUAGUUGCAGAUGCUGCAACUACUGAAAAGACAAAUAGGGAAUACUAUUGUGGUAGACAGGAAAUGGCCUCCCCAAAUUGUCAGUGUCCUAAUCUCUGAAACAUGUGCAUAUGUUACAUUACAUGGCAAAGGAGAAUUAAGUUUACAGAUAAAACCAAAUUUUCUAUGAGUUGGUUUUAAGAUAGAGAAAUUAUCCUGGAUUAUCCAGAUGCAUAAGAGUCCUUAAAAAGUGUCAGAAGGCAGAAAAGGAGAUUACAAUGAUGUGAUGUGGAGUAACAGCAGCAAAAUGGCACACUAGGAAGCUCCACGUUUUUCAUUAGUCUUUUCAACAAACAGUGUUUGGAAAACUCAAUAUCUUGAUACCAUAUAUAAAGAGUAACUCAAAGACCUUUACAUAUAUAGUAAAACUGUAAAACUCUUAGAAGAAAAUAUAGGAAGAGUCUUCAUGACACAUGAUCUGCCAAUGCUUUUUGGAUAUGACACUAAAAGCAUAGGUAACAAAAGAAAAAUAUAUAAAUUGGACUAAAUGAAAAUUAAAAGCUUUUGUGUGUCAAAGUGUUUCACGGUAUCAACAGUUUCAUACUAUCAACAGUAAAAAUGCAAACCAUGGAGUGGGAGAAAUAUUUGCAAAUUGUAUCUAAUAAAAGAUAUUUAAAGAAUAUUUAAAAAAUUUCUACAACUCAUCAACAAAAAACAACCCAAUUUAACAAUGGGCAAAGAACUUGAAUAGUUUUCUGGGCAAUAAGCACAUGAAAAGCUGCUCAACAUCACUAUUAAAUGUAAGUGAAAGGGGCACCUGGGUGGCUCAGUCAGUUGAGCGUCCAACUUUGGCUCAGGUCAUGAUCACACAGCUCGUAAGUUUGAGCCCCCCAUCAGGCUCUGUGCUGACAGCUCAGAGCCUGGAGCCUGCUUCGGAUUCUGUGUCUCCCUCUCUCUCUGCCCCUAACCCAUUCGCAUUCUGUCUUUGUCUCUCUCAAAAAUAAACAUUAAAAAAAAAAAUGUAAGUGAAAACCACACUGAGUUACCACCUCACACCCAUUAGAAUGAUUUUUUUUUUAAGGCAAAACAAAAUGAGUGUUGAUUAGGAUGCAGAGAAAUUGGAAGCAUUGCUGGAGGAAAUAUAAAAUGGUGCAGCCACUGGGAAAAACUGACAUUUGACAUUUCCUCAAAAAGUUAAACACAGAAUUACCACCUGAUCUAGUAAUUCCACUUCUGAUUAUAUACUGAAAAGAACUGAAAGCAGGGACACAAACAGAUAUUUGUAUACCCACGUUUGUAAAGCAUUCUUGACAGUAGUGAAAAAGUUGAAGCAACUCAAGAGUCCACUAAGAAUGUUUAUACACAUUUUUGACUAAUGUGGUAAAUAAUGGAGUAUUAUUGAAGACAUUAUACUAAGUGAAAUAAGCCAGUCACAAAAGGACAAAUAUUGUAUGUCUCUUAUACGAGGUGUUUAGAGUAGUCAAAUUCAUAGAGAUAGAAAAUAGAAUGAUAGUUGUUAGGGAUUGAGGGAGAGGGGAAUGUGGAGUUCUUGUUAAAUGGGUAUGGAUUUUCUUGAGUUUUUGAGAUGGAUGGUGGUUGUACAAAAAUGUGAAUGUAUUUAAUGUUACAAUUAUACACUUAAAAUGGUAAAUUUUAGAGUUAACUAUAUUAACUAUGUGAGGUGAUGGAUGUGUUAUAUUCAUAAUCAUCCUAUAAUGUAUAUGCAUAUCAAAUCAUCACAUUGUACCCUCUAAGUAUAUAUAAUUAUAUUUGUCAGUUACUCCUUAGAAAUGUAGAAAAGGUAACUUUUAUGCAUAUUUUACAAUAAUAAAAAGAAAAAAGACACAAAUAAGUUAAAAAUGAACGACAGAAAAAGACAUUCCAUGCAAAUAGUAAAAGGUAGAAGGUGUCCCUUUACUAAAUCAAUCAAAAUACAUUUUAAUUUAAGAAUUGUUACAAGAUAGGCAUCUGGGUGGCUCAGUCGGUUAGGUAUCUGACUUUGGCUCAGGUCAUGAUCUCAUGGCUCAUGAGUUCAAGUCCCGCAUAGGGUGAGCUUGAGCCCUGCUUCGGGUGAGCUCAAGCCCCGCUUCAGGUGAGCACGAACCCUGCUUCGGAUGAGCUCGAACCCUGCUUCUGGAGAGCUCCUCUUCUCUCUCUCUGUCCCUUGCUCGCUUGUGCCUUCUUGCUCUCUCUCAAAAAAAU